ACCUCAUGGUGAAAUAUUGAAAGACGGUUUCGGCUGUCGCUAUAGGAUGGGCCCGCGGCGCAUUAGCUAGUUGGUGAGGUAACGGCUCACCAAGGCGACGAUGCGUAGCCGACCUGAGAGGGUGAUCGCCACACUGGGACUGAGACACGGCCCAGACUCCUACGGGAGGCAGCAGUAGGGAAUCUUCCACAAUGGGCGAAAGCCUGAUGGAGCAACGCCGCGUGAGUGAAGAAGGAUUUCGGUUCGUAAAACUCGUUGUAAGGGAAGAACAAGUACAGUAGUAACUGGCUGUACCUUGACGGUACCUUAUUAGAAAGCCACGGCUAACUACGUGCCAGCAGCCGCGGUAAUACGUAGGUGGCAAGCGUUGUCCGGAAUUAUGGGCGUAAAGCGCGCGCAGGUGGUUUCUUAAGUCUGAUGUGAAAGCCCACGGCUCAACCGUGGAGGGUCAUUGGAAACUGGGAGACUUGAGUGCAGAAGAGGAUAGUGGAAUUCCAAGUGUAGCGGUAAAUGCGUAGAGAUUUGGAGGAACACCAGUGGCGAAGGCGACUAUCUGGUCUGUAACUGACACUGAGGCGCGAAAGCGUGGGGAGCAAACAGGAUUAGAUACCCUGGUAGUCCACGCCGUAAACGAUAGUGCUAAGUGUUAGGGGGUUUCCGCCCCUUAGUGCUGCAGCUAACGCAUUAAGCACUCCGCCUGGGGAGUACGGUCGCAAGACUGAAACUCAAAGGAAUUGACGGGGGCCCGCACAAGCGGUGGAGAUGUGGUUUAAUUCGAAGCAACGCGAAGAACCUUACCAGGUCUUGACAUCCCGUUGACCACUGUAGAGAUAUGGUUUCCCCUUCGGGGGCAACGGUGACAGGUGGUGCAUGGUUGUCGUCAGCUCGUUCGUGAGAUGUUGGGUUAAGUCCCGCAACGAGCGCAACCCUUGAUCUUAGUUGCCAUCAUUUAGUUGGGCACUCUAAGGUGACUGCCGGUGACAAACCGGAGGAAGGUGGGGAUGACGUCAAAUCAUAUGCCCCUUAUGACCUGGGCUACACACGUGCUACAAUGGACGAUACAAACGGUUGCCAACUCGCGAGAGGGAGCUAAUCCGAUAAAGUCGUUCUCAGUUCGGAUUGUAGGCUGCAACUCGCCUACAUAAGCCGGAAUCGCUAG
rnacentral:rRNA from 1 species